CCAGCCCCAGCUCGGGGGCUGCUGCAGCAGGGGACAGAGGGCACAUCCACCGCAUUAGAAAGAAAAAACUAGGUGAUCUCUUACAUGACUGCAACAGAAUACAGAAGAAGAGUUAAAUGGAGUGUUCUGCUCUUAAUCAUGAGGGAAUUACCAUUGGCAGCUCAUCUCUCCUCCUGGCUAUUGCAAACAUUCAAGGACAAGCAAGAGGGUUAAGCAGACCCAAGCAAGAAGCCCAACUGAUGGUCUCUAACUGGUUGUGAUGUGGCAUGUUUGCACCCUACACAUUUCAGUGUAAUGGAAAACCACACAUGCAAUUGCUUCAAGCAGGA